GACGAACGCUGGCGGCGUGCUUAACACAUGCAAGUCGAACGGAAAGGCCCUGCUUGCAGGGUACUCGAGUGGCGAACGGGUGAGUAACACGUGGGUGAUCUGCCCUGCACUUCGGGAUAAGCCUGGGAAACUGGGUCUAAUACCGGAUAGGAGCCAUUUUUAGUGUGAUGGUUGGAAAGUUUUUUCGGUGUAGGAUGAGCUCGCGGCCUAUCAGCUUGUUGGUGGGGUAAUGGCCUACCAAGGCGGCGACGGGUAGCCGGCCUGAGAGGGUGGACGGCUACAUUGGGACUGAGAUACGGCCCAGACUCCUACGGGAGGCAGCAGUGGGGAAUAUUGCACAAUGGGCGCAAGCCUGAUGCAGCGACGCCGCGUGGGGGAUGACGGCCUUCGGGUUGUAAACUCCUUUCGCUAGGGACGAAGCUUUUUGAGACGGUACCUAGAUAAGAAGCACCGGCUAACUACGUG
rnacentral:rRNA from 1 species